UUUGAAAUGUCCCCUAUUUGACCUUUUUGUUUGACACUGAUAAAAAAUGAUAUAAGUUUGCUACUUAUCCUGGACUUGAAGCCUCCUGCUUGGGAGAUAAAGGUCACCUGAGGAUAUUGCCAUAUGUUUGUAUGGAAAACGUUCAUAAGUAAAUUUCAGUGGGUAAGUGGCUGAAAUUAAUGUCAUUUUUUUAAAGUCAGAAGAUGCUGAUUAAAGGAUUGCAGGGUGACUCAUUUCUUGCUCUUUUGAAAUUCAUCUAAUUUCUCUGACUUCAGAUCCUUUGUAAUUGCUCAUGGGUAGUGUAAUGUUUCAUGAAGCUAGCAAUUAGAUCACAGGAUUGAAACACAGAUAGGGAACUUCAUCUUCUAUAAAACCAUUGUGUCAUCAUUAUUGUUGUUAGACAGACAGAAGGAAUAACAUAUUACUGCGAUACUAAUAUGUCUUGCUUACCAGUUUUAUAGAGUUUAAGGCUAGGCUAACAAUCCCUUGUUGAAGAAACGGAAACUGAAGAGCCAUACUCAGCAAAUGCUUUGGAAGUUUUUAUUCUGGUGUGAAAUGUGAGCAAUAAUUACUUCCUGCACUGCAAAGUUAUUGAGAAGUUUCAAGGCAUACAGUUCUGGGUGAUGAGAAGCAAAACUGAAUGAGUAGAAGAAAUGUGAUCAGAAAAACAAUGAGAGCAUGCCUUGAUCUGUUUGCAGAGAAAAGGAAGAGAGCAGUUCAGAGAAGAGUAUGA
rnacentral:lncRNA from 1 species